ACCCUGGCAGAGACCCUGCUCACUUGCCAUGGGCGGUCUGGACCAAGCUCCCGCCUCCUCCCAGCCUAUAAAGCCACCCUCAGUGCCCUUGCCCACUCUUGUCCCCUCCUUUGAUACCCAGAGCCAUAAUGGCAGAGCUCCCCGUGACAGAGCUGCCUGGCGAUGCUCUGUGCAGUGGGCGCUUCACCAUCAGCACACUGAUGGGAGGCGAUGAGCCCCCACCAGCUGCCUGUGACAGCAGCCAGCCCAGCCACUUAACACACGGCAGCACCUUAUACAUGCGCACCUUCGGUUACAACACCAUAGACGUGGUGCCGGCCUACGAACACUAUGCUAACAGCGCUCUGCCCGGUGAGCCCCGGAAGGUGCGGCCCACCCUGGCUGACCUGCAUUCAUUCCUCAAGCAGGAAGGUAGCCACCUGCAUGCCCUGGCCUUUGAUGGACGGCAAGGUCGUGAGCUGACUGAUGGACUUGUGGAAGAUGAGACAGGCACCAACAGUGAGAAGAGCCCUGGAGAACCUGUUCGCUUCGGCUGGGUCAAGGGGGUGAUGAUCCGUUGCAUGCUCAACAUCUGGGGAGUGAUCCUCUACCUGCGACUCCCCUGGAUUACGGCGCAGGCGGGCAUCGUGCUGACUUGGCUCAUCAUCCUGCUGUCGGUCAUGGUGACAUCCAUCACCGGCCUCUCCAUCUCCGCCAUCUCUACCAAUGGCAAGGUCAAGUCGGGUGGCACCUAUUUCCUUAUUUCCCGGAGUCUGGGACCAGAGCUGGGAGGCUCCAUUGGCCUCAUCUUCGCCUUUGCCAAUGCUGUGGGUGUGGCCAUGCACACUGUGGGCUUUGCAGAAACCGUAAGGGACCUACUGCAGCUGGCCUGCUCCCCCACUCAGGAGUAUGGCACACCCAUCGUAGACCCCAUCAAUGACAUCCGCAUCAUCGGUGUGGUCACGGUCACUGUGCUGCUGGCCAUCUCGCUGGCUGGGAUGGAGUGGGAGUCCAAGGCCCAGGUGCUAUUCUUUCUUGUCAUCAUGGUCUCCUUUGCCAACUACCUGGUGGGCACACUGAUCCCAGCAUCUGAAGACAAAGCCUCUAAAGGCUUCUACAGCUACCAUGGGGACAUUUUUGUUCAGAACCUGGUACCCGACUGGAGAGGCAUUGAUGGUAGCUUCUUUGGCAUGUUCUCCAUCUUCUUCCCUUCGGCCACUGGCAUUCUGGCAGGGGCCAACAUCUCCGGGGACCUCAAGGAUCCUGCUGUAGCCAUCCCCAAGGGAACACUCAUGGCCAUUUUCUGGACCACCAUCUCCUACCUUGCCAUCUCAGCUACCAUCGGCUCCUGUGUGGUGAGAGAUGCCUCUGGGGAUGUGAACGACACCAUGACUCCUGGUCCAGGCCCCUGCGAAGGGCUAGCCUGUGGCUAUGGCUGGAACUUCACAGAAUGCUCCCAGCAGCGCAGUUGCCGCUAUGGCCUCAUCAACUACUACCAGACCAUGAGCAUGGUGUCUGCCUUCGCACCCCUGAUCACAGCCGGCAUCUUUGGCGCCACCCUGUCUUCUGCCUUGGCCUGUCUUGUCUCGGCUGCUAAGGUCUUCCAGUGCCUGUGUGAAGACCAGCUGUACCCUCUGAUUGGCUUUUUUGGCAAAGGCUAUGGCAAGAACAGGGAGCCUGUGCGUGGCUACCUGCUGGCCUAUGCCAUUGCUGUGGCCUUCAUCAUCAUUGCUGAACUUAACACCAUCGCCCCCAUCAUUUCCAACUUCUUCCUCUGCUCCUACGCCCUCAUCAAUUUCAGCUGCUUCCAUGCCUCCAUCACCAACUCACCUGGAUGGAGACCCUCCUUCCGAUACUACAGCAAGUGGGCGGCGCUGUUUGGGGCAGUGAUCUCGGUGGUCAUCAUGUUCCUGCUUACCUGGUGGGCUGCUCUCAUUGCCAUCGGAGUCGUCCUCUUCCUCCUGCUCUAUGUGAUCUACAAGAAGCCAGAGGUGAACUGGGGUUCCUCAGUACAGGCUGGCUCCUACAAUCUGGCCCUGAGCUACUCCGUGGGCCUCAACGAGGUGGAAGACCACAUCAAGAACUACCGCCCCCAGUGCCUGGUGCUUACAGGGCCCCCCAACUUCCGCCCAGCCCUUGUGGACUUUGUGAGCACAUUUACCCAGAACCUAAGCCUAAUGAUUUGUGGUCAUGUGCUCAUUGGACCUGGCAAGCAGAGAGUGCCCGAGCUCCGGCUCAUCGCCAGUGGACACACCAAGUGGCUGAACAAGAGGAAGAUCAAGGCCUUCUACUCUGACGUCAUCGCUGAGGACUUGCGCAGUGGCGUCCAGAUUCUCAUGCAGGCCUCAGGGCUUGGGAGAAUGAAGCCGAACAUUCUGGUGGUUGGAUUCAAGAGGAACUGGCAGUCUGCCCACCCAGCCACAGUGGAGGACUACAUUGGUGUCCUGCAUGAUGCCUUUGACUUCAACUACGGGGUUUGUGUCAUGAGGAUGCGCGAGGGGCUCAAUGUCUCCGAGGCUCUGCAGACCCACAGUGAGUACCUGCUGCAUCUGAUGAGCCCUGUAAAAAACCAAUACCUUUUCUAAGCAGUGGAAGAGAGGGAAGUGUUAGUCGAGUCACAGACUCUGAGGUAGCCAAUUCUUAAUGGUUCCUUGGUGUCCGUCAGUUUCCAAAUGGAAGUGAGAUCCAGAAAGGGCACGUGACUGACCAGGGCAAGGUCAUACUUCCAGCUAGGGCCAGAAAGGAGACUAGAGUGCUCCAAGUCACUGCUGUGCUCUGAUAACCAGGUGGACCUGAUAGAGGAGAGGCAUCUAUAAACACCAUCAAGAAAAUACCUAAAGGCCAUGGGCUCUGACCAUUGGAUCUCAGGUCUGUCCUUGGCACUCAAAACAGAAACAUGUUUCGCGGCAUUUGCACCUGACUGUGAAGAUUCUGACUUAGUGAUAGACGUGGGGGAGACAAAGGGUGGUCAGGACUGGCAGACAUGCAGGCAGGAUUCUGUUCCUUGCAGGCAGAGGUAUUAUCACCCGGGACCAAAGAUAUUCUUAUGUCCACAGCAUCUAGACAACAAAUAUUUUUGCAAGCUUUGUGGCAGUCAUCGAUCAUACUCUAGGCAGGGAGCAAAAAGCUCCCUCACCCAGGGUGGCAAGCCUCCAGGGACAAAGCCGAUGCUGGAUGCUCAGCGUAAUGGACACACAGGUCACCUCAGACAUGAGAUUAUCCUGAGGAGACGGAUGCUCAGAGGCCCCUUUGAGGACAAGGCCUGGCUGAUGCCGAGGAGAACAGAGCUGGGGAAAGAAUGGCUUAGGUGCACAGGCCCGAUGCGCCCCCCAUACACACUAUGCAGUUAAUCCCAUGUUUGACCCCAGAGAGGGAGGCAAGGGAGCCUGUGGCCAUCUGUGCCCAGCAUGGGCCAGCCCCCCUUCCCCACCUGCUCAGAUCGGGGUACUCUUAUCCUAUGGGAAUGCUACUAUCAGGUUAUCCAGGAAUUUGGCCAAGAGUAAAUGGCUUUCUCUUGUGACAGUGGUGUCCUAAUCACCAAGGCUGGGUGACUAUAGGUUUUGGUUUCCUGUUGAAGAUGACCAGCCCGUGGUACAUUUAGUUCCACCCCUUGUAAGACUCCCUCUCAGUGUUCAAAUGCAGAGAGGAGCAGCAUGCAGUUGCCUUCCUUCAGGGGUGUGGGGGAAAGUGGCAGCUGGUAAGAGAUGUCCUGCUACAUCUGUGAGGGGAAGAAGAGGUACAGGAAGAUGGAUAUGCUCUAUCUGCAUGGGGAUGCUGCACAGGGAUGUUGUAUGGAGAUGCUGUGCGGGGAUGCUGUACAGGGAUGCUGCACAGGGAUGCUGCACAGGGAUGCUAUACAGGGAUGCUGCACAGGGAUGCUUCAGAGAGAUGCUGUACAGGGAUGCUGCAUGGGGAUAAUACACAGGGAUGCUGCACAGGGAUGCUGCAUAGGGAUGCUGCACAGGGAUGCUGCAUAGGGAUGCUGCACAGAGAUGCUGCACAGGGAUGCUGCACAGGGAUGCUUCAGAGAGAUGCUGUACAGGGAUGCUGCAUGGGGAUGCUUUGAUGGGACAGAGUUCUUCCAGCCAAUCGUCCCCCAGUGCCCAUCAGCAUCCAGGGAGAGGGAGCUGGGGGCCAGGAAAAGGUUCAAAUAGCACUAUAUGAAGUAUGGGAAGGGACAUUAGCUGUGUCUGGCCCAGCCUGCAGGAUGCUUCUGGCCACUGCAUGCUCACCUUGGUGACAACGGCUAGCCCACCUCUCUGGGAAAGCUGGCUAUUUUCAGGUGGGUCCUGGCAGCAAAUCUGCUGGCUCUGCUCUAACCUUCCCCUCCUGCAGCAACCCCAGAGGCAUUGAUACAAGAGGAGCAGGCUAGCACCAUCUUCCAGUCGGAGCAAGGCAAGAAGACCAUUGACAUCUACUGGCUGUUCGAUGAUGGAGGUCUCACCCUCCUCAUCCCCUAUCUCCUGCACCGCAAGAAGAGAUGGGGCAAAUGCAAGAUCCGAGUGUUUGUUGGGGGCCAGAUCAACAGGAUGGACGAAGAGAGAAAGGCGAACAUGUGGUAAGUGCUGAAAUCGCAAGACUCUUCAUGGACAGACUCAUGGAAUGGCAGGACAGAGGAUCAUCUCUCUGUUGAGCAAGUUCAGACUGGGAUUCCAUGAAGUUCACGUCCUUCCCGACAUCAACCAGAAGCCCCAGGCCGAGCACACCAAGCGGUUUGAGGACAUGAUUGCACCCUUCCGCCUCAAUGAUGGCUUCAAGGACGAGGCCACCGUCACUGAGAUGAGGAGGGACUGUCCCUGGAAGAUCUCAGAUGAAGAGAUUAACAAGAACAGAAUUAAGUCCCUUCGGCAGGUGAGACUGAGUGAGAUACUGCUGGAUUACUCUCGGGAUGCUGCUCUGAUCAUCCUUACCCUGCCCAUUGGAAGGAAGGGGAAGUGCCCCAGUUCGCUGUACAUGGCCUGGCUGGAGACCCUGUCCCAGGACCUCAGACCUCCCGUCCUCCUCAUCCGAGGCAACCAGGAGAAUGUGCUCACCUUUUACUGCCAGUGAUGCCUGGGGUGACGGGAACCGCCACCCAGAACCCCAAAGCUGAGGGCUUGGGAUAGAGUCAGAACGCACCCUCUCCAGCUGGAGAAGAGGCUUCAAGUUCUACUGUAUCAUCCCAUCCAUCAGCGCCUAUGCAGAAGAUGGGGUUUCCCGGCUGACUGAACCCCCAUCAGACACACUUUCUGGACCUUGAAGUUGCAUGGAAAAGUCUCUGGAAGAGUCUAUCUCUUUUUAAAAAAGCUUUUAUUUGUCUUGAUGACCAAA